CCCUGUAGGAUAUCAACGUGUUUGUUGUCUACGUUAUUGGUGCUGUUAUCACGUUUGUGUUUGGUGUUGUGUACGAGUGGAUGCAAGCAGCCACGACCUACAAAAUGUUUCACAACAGAGGACAAAAGAGAGUGACAAUCAUCAGAAUUGUCAUUACAACUUUAUCAACCAUCUUUUUAAUCUCAUGUGAGCAGAAUUCAAUCGCCUCUUGAGCUGAUAUUUGGUUGUCGUUGUAUCUCAUGUUUUCACCGUGGGCAUUGCUCGCUUUCAUUCUUCUCAACUGUUUACUGUUGUUAAUGACAACACAUCGAAUUGUUGGCUGGCAUUAGGUUUAGAAAUGGGAUUGAAGUAUGACCAAGUGAUGAGUACUGUAGAAGGCACGUAUGCAUACAAAAAAGAAAAUGCAGUAAAGUUGGAAAAUACAGAGCAGCUGCUCACUUGGUAACAGCUGUGCAGGCAAUCAAUAAAAUGGGAGCAGUGGAAGAUGAUCUACCAGGAGUUGUGUUGCAGUGAAGGCCGCUCUAGCUGAGUCAUGCUCUUACAGUGG